GCCCCCAUCGUCUAGAGGCCUAGGACACAUCCCUUUCACGGAUGCGGCAGGGGUUCGAAUCCCCUUGGGGGUA
rnacentral:tRNA from 1 species